rnacentral:rRNA from 1 species
UACAUGCAAGUCGAGCGAAUGGAUUAAGAGCUUGCUCUUAUGAAGUUAGCGGCGGACGGGUGAGUAACACGUGGGUAACCUGCCCAUAAGACUGGGAUAACUCCGGGAAACCGGGGCUAAUACCGGAUAACAUUUUGAACUGCAUGGUUCGAAAUUGAAAGGCGGCUUCGGCUGUCACUUAUGGAUGGACCCGCGUCGCAUUAGCUAGUUGGUGAGGUAACGGCUCACCAAGGCAACGAUGCGUAGCCGACCUGAGAGGGUGAUCGGCCACACUGGGACUGAGACACGGACCACACUCCUACGGGAGGCAGCAGUAGGGAAUCUUCCGCAAUGGACGAAAGUCUGACGGAGCAACGCCGCGUGAGUGAUGAAGGCUUUCGGGUCGUAAAACUCUGUUGUUAGGGAAGAACAAGUGCUAGUUGAAUAAGCUGGCACCUUGACGGUACCUAACCAGAAAGCCACGGCUAACUACGUGCCAGCAGCCGCGGUAAUACGUAGGUGGCAAGUGUUUUCCGGAAUUAUUGGGCGUAAAGCGCGCGCAGGUGGUUUCUUAAGUCUGAUGUGAAAGCCCACGGCUCAACCGUGGAGGGUCAUUGGAAACUGGGAGACUUGAGUGCAGAAGAGGAAAGUGGAAUUCCAUGUGUAGCGGUGAAAUGCGUAGAGAUAUGGAGGAACACCAGUGGCGAAGGCGACUUUCUGGUCUGUAACUGACACUGAGGCGAGAAAGCGUGGGGAGCAAACAGGACUAGAUACCCUGGUAGUCCACGCCGUAAACGAUGAGUGCUAAGUGUUAGAGGGUUUCCGCCCUUUAGUGCUGAAGUUAACGCAUUAAGCACUCCGCCUGGGGAGUUCGGCCGCAAGGCUGAAACUCAAAGGAAUUGACGGGGGCCCGCACAAGCGGUGGAGCAUGUGGUUUAAUUAGAAGCAACGCGAAGAACCUUACCAGGUCUUGAAAUCCUCUGACAACCCUAGAGAUAGGGCUUCUCCUUCGGGAGCAGAGUGACAGGUGGUGCAUGGUUGUCGUCAGCUCGUGUCGUGAGAUGUUGGGUUAAGUCCCGCAACGAGCGCAACCCUUGAUCUUAGUUGCCAUCAUUUAGUUGGGCACUCUAAGGUGACUGCCGGUGACAAACCGGAGGAAGGUGGGGAUGACGUCAAAUCAUCAUGCCCCUUAUGACCUGGGCUACACACGUGCUACAAUGGACGGUACAAAGAGCUGCAAGACCGCGAGGUGGAGCUAAUCUCAUAAAACCGUUCUCAGUUCGGAUUGUAGGCUGCAACUCGCCUACAUGAAGCUGGAAUCGCUAGUAAUCGCGGAUCAGCAUGCCGCGGUGAAUACGUUCCCGGGCCUUGUACACACCGCCCGUCACACCACGAGAGUUUGUAACACCCGAAGUCGGUGGGGUAACCUUUUUGGAGCCAGCCGCCUAAGGUGGGACAGAUGAUUGGGGUGAAGUCGUAACA